rnacentral:lncRNA from 1 species
GCCACGCGAUCCACUGGGCUUCUGGGCACAGAAGUGCCUCAACAGGCACAGGCAGGCUCCCCACAGCCACAAGGAACCCUGCUGCCAAGGAAGCAGCUCCUGUUGGGGUCAUCAGAUUUUUAAUCUGGCUCAGCAAAGCCAUGGCUGUCCAGCCUUAAAAAAAUGGGUGAUGUGGGAGAAAUGGAGGGUGUGUGAAGAGCACAGCUGGGCCUCGAGAACUCAGGGCCAGCCUUCCCAGCUUGGGUCCUGUUUCGGAGCCCAGGCCUUGCUUCCCCUUAGCCGCCCCAGCCAGAUUCUUUUGCGCCCCCUGCUGGCACACACAAAGACAGACCCAGGAGCGCACAUGUGAACGUGCGCAUGCUUGCUGCCAGUUACCCAGUUCAUGAACACGUGAAGCCUUGACUUCAGGUUAAGUAAUAAAAAUUUAUUGAGAA